ACAAUAAGCGGAGGAAAAGAAACCAACAGGGAUUGCCCUAGUAACGGCGAGUGAAGCGGCAACAGCUCAAAUUUGAAAUCUGGCUCUUUCAGAGUCCGAGUUGUAAUUUGCAGAGGGCGCUUUGGCUUUGGCAGCGGUCCAAGUUCCUUGGAACAGGACGUCACAGAGGGUGAGAAUCCCGUACGUGGUCGCUAGCUAUUGCCGUGUAAAGCCCCUUCGACGAGUCGAGUUGUUUGGGAAUGCAGCUCUAAAUGGGAGGUAAAUUUCUUCUAAAGCUAAAUAUUGGCCAGAGACCGAUAGCGCACAAGUAGAGUGAUCGAAAGAUGAAAAGCACUUUGCAAAGAGAGUCAAACAGCACGUGAAAUUGUUGAAAGGGAAGCGCUUGCAGCCAGACUUGCUUGCAGUUGCUCAUCCGGGCUUUUGCCCGGUGCACUCUUCUGUAGGCAGGCCAGCAUCAGUUUGGGCGGUGGGAUAAAGGUCUCUGUCACGUACCUCUCUUCGGGGAGGCCUUAUAGGGGAGACGACAUACCACCAGCCUAGACUGAGGUCCGCGCAUCUGCUAGGAUGCUGGCGUAAUGGCUGUAAGCGGCCCGUCUUGAAACACGGACCAAGGAGUCUAACAUCUAUGCGAGUGUUUGGGUGUCAAGCCCGAGCGCGUAAUGAAAGUGAACGGAGGUGGGAACCCGCAAGGGUGCACCAUCGACCGAUCCUGAAGUUUACGGAAGGAUUUGAGUAAGAGCAUGGCUGUUGGGACCCGAAAGAUGGUGAACUAUGCUUGAAUAGGGUGAAGCCAGAGGAAACUCUGGUGGAGGCUCGCAGCGGUUCUGACGUGCAAAUCGAUCGUCAAAUUUGGGCAUAGGGGCGAAA
rnacentral:rRNA from 1 species